GAUGAACGCUAGCUACAGGCUUAACACAUGCAAGUCGAGGGGCAGCAUGGUCUUAGCUUGCUAAGGCUGAUGGCGACCGGCGCACGGGUGAGUAACACGUAUCCAACCUGCCGUCUACUCUUGGCCAGCCUUCUGAAAGGAAGAUUAAUCCAGGAUGGGAUCAUGAGUUCACAUGUCCGCAUGAUUAAAGGUAUUUUCCGGUAGACGAUGGGGAUGCGUUCCAUUAGAUAGUAGGCGGGGUAACGGCCCACCUAGUCAACGAUGGAUAGGGGUUCUGAGAGGAAGGUCCCCCACAUUGGGACUGAGACACGGCCCAG
rnacentral:rRNA from 1 species